UACGUAGGGUGCGAGCGUUGUCCGGAAUUAUUGGGCGUAAAGAGCUCGUAGGCGGUCUGUCACGUCGGAUGUGAAAGCCCGGGGCUUAACCCCGGGUCUGCAUUCGAUACGGGCAGACUAGAGUGUGGUAGGGGAGAUCGGAAUUCCUGGUGUAGCGGUGAAAUGCGCAGAUAUCAGGAGGAACACCGGUGGCGAAGGCGGAUCGAUGGGCCAUUACUGACGCUGAGGAGCGAAAGCGUGGGGAGCGAACAGG
rnacentral:rRNA from 1 species